AGAACCUCGAGGAUAUAUUCCAGAAAGAGGAAGACAUGGGUACAAGAAAGUCUGACUUUUUAUUUGCCAAGGACAAAUUCUAGCUGCUGUUGGAGGCAGGAGAGUUCACCGUGUGCCUCAUUCUCCGAGAAGUAAAUACAAAGAAAUGAUGACUCUUCUUAUGAGAACCAGAAUGGCUGAAGGAUUCCAGUAUGUAGCUCCAACGCAUCAGGAGCCCUCAGUGGAUCAGGCCAGGCCUCUGCUCAAAAUCCUGCGAUGGUUUCCUGGCUGUAGACACUCCCGAAGCACUACCGAAGAAUGCUCUUGUUCUAAGGGACAGAAUUUGAAGAGGACCGAUGCAAAGCAUCAUUUUCCUGCCGGAAGUUCUCUAAAUCUGUUGACUGUAGAGGUAAACACUUCAUUUUACUCUAAGCAAACAAGGGUCAUUUGUGCCUGUUCAACUGCUUUUUCCAGAUCUUCAGAGGAUCUCCUGCUGCUUUUGUUGACGUUAGUAAUAGCCAAACGGGAAAGAAACUUUGUGGAGAGAAAUGUCAAAUAUUUCCUUCUAAAAACUGGAAGUGGGGAAACAGAUGAGAGGGGACUAUAUAUGAGUAAAUGAAAUGCUCUUGAAUGAUUUAAAAGACCAACUUGCAUUAAUUUUUUUUUCCGUUUCUGAACUCAACUACUCCAAACUGUUUUGGCUAUAAUAGAAAGGAUUAUAAUAAAAAUGUAUUAUAGUAAAUUGCA
rnacentral:lncRNA from 1 species